GCCUUCGAGGUGUAGUGGUCAGCACGCUUGACGCGUAUUCCAGAGGUCCGUGGUUCGAGUCCCGACGCAGGCG
rnacentral:tRNA from 1 species